UACGGGGGGAGCAAGCGUUGUUCGGAUUUACUGGGCGUAAAGGGCGCGUAGGCGGCAAUUCAAGUCAUCUGUGAAAUCUCCGGGCUUAACUCGGAACGGUCAAGUGAUACUGUCGGACUAGAGUACAGAAGGGGCAACUGGAAUUCUCGGUGUAGCGGUGAAAUGCGUAGAUAUCGAGAGGAACACCUGCGGCGAAGGCGGGUUGCUGGGCUGAUACUGACGCUGAGGCGCGAAAGCCAGGGGAGCGAACGGG
rnacentral:rRNA from 1 species